CUACGGGGGGCAGCAGUGAGGAAUAUUGCACAAUGGGGGAAACCCUGAUGCAGCAACGCCGCGUGGAGGAUGACGCAUUUCGGUGUGUAAACUCCUUUUAUAUGUCAAGAAAAUGACGGUAGCAUAUGAAUAAGCACCGGCUAACUCCGUGCCAGCAGCCGCGGUAAUACGGAGGGUGCAAGCGUUACUCGGAAUCACUGGGCGUAAAGGACGCGUAGGCGGGUUGUCAAGUCAGGUGUGAAAUCCUACAGCUUAAAUGUAGAACUGCACUUGAAACUGGCAGCCUAGAGUAUGGGAGGGGGAGAUGGAAUUAGUAGUGUAGGGGUAAAAUCCGUAGAUAUUACUAGGAAUAUCAAAAGCGAAGGCGAUCUCCUGGAACAUUACUGACGCUAAGGCGUGAAAGCGUGGGGAGCAAACAGGAUUAGAUACCCGGGUAGUC
rnacentral:rRNA from 1 species